rnacentral:rRNA from 1 species
GUCGGGAAUUUUGGGCAAUGGGGGAAACCCUGACCCAGCAACGCCGCGUGAGCGAUGAAGGCCUUCGGGUCGUAAAGCUCUGUCGGGAGGGAAGAAGGCUCUCGGAGUGAAUAAUUCCGGGGGAUUGACGGUACCUCUAGAGGAAGCGCCGGCUAACUCCGUGCCAGCAGCCGCGGUAAUACGGAGGGCGCAAGCGUUGUUCGGAAUCACUGGGCGUAAAGCGCGUGUAGGCGGCUUGGUAAGUCGGGUGUGAAAGCCCGGGGCCUAACCCCGGAACUGCACUCGAAACUGCCUCGCUAGAGUCCCGGAGAGGAUGGUGGAAUUCCCGGUGUAGUGGUGAAAUACGUAGAUAUCGGGAGGAACACCAGCGGCGAAGGCGGCCAUCUGGACGGUGACUGACGCUGAGACGCGAAAGCGUGGGGAGCAAACAGGAUUAGAAACCCUGGUAGUCC